AACGCGAAGAACCUUACCUACUCUUGACAUCCAGAGAAUUCGCCAGAGAUAGCUUAGUGCCUUCGGGAACUGUGAGACAGGUGCUGCAUGGCUGUCGUCAGCUCGUGUUGUGAAAUGUUGGGUUAAGUCCCGCAACGAGCGCAACCCUUAUCCUUUGUUGCCAGCGCGUAAUGUCGGGAACUCAAAGGAGACUGCCGGUGAUAAACCGGAGGAAGGUGGGGAUGACGUCAAGUCAUCAUGGCCCUUACGAGUAGGGCUACACACGUGCUACAAUGGCAUAUACAAAGAGAAGCGAACUCGCGAGAGCAAGCGGACCUCAUAAAGUAUGUCGUAGUCCGGAUUGGAGUCUGCAACUCGACUCCAUGAAGUCGGAAUCGCUAGUAAUCGUAGAUCAGA
rnacentral:rRNA from 1 species